UAUCAGUUUUUCACUUUAUCGCGUCAGUUGAGACUUGAGAAACAGUCCAGGAGAGAAAAAAAAGGAUAAAAAGAAAAGUCUCUGUCGUCCUUCGUCGUUCGCGUUGAUCUCAGAUUCAGUCUUCGCCAUGGCGGAGGGUGCUUCUUACGGAUUGCGUCGUUCAUUAGAUAUUCAGCAAUUACAAUUUGAAGCCCAGCAUCGAUGGUUGCGACCUGCAGAAAUUUGUGAAAUUCUUCGUAAUUAUCGGAUGUUUCAUAUCACAUCAGAGCCUCAUAACAGGCCACCAAGUGGUUCACUUUUUCUUUUUGAUCGAAAAGUUUUGAGAUACUUUAGAAAGGAUGGGCAUAAUUGGAGAAAGAAAAAGGAUGGAAAAACUGUGAAAGAAGCUCAUGAAAAGUUGAAGAUUGGAAGUGUUGAUGUGUUGCACUGCUACUAUGCCCAUGGAGAAGAAAAUGAAAAUUUUCAAAGGCGAAGCUACUGGAUGCUUGAACCGGAUAUGAUGCACAUAGUAUUUGUCCAUUACUUGGAAGUUAAGGGUAACAAAAAUAUUGUAGUAAAUACUGAAGGUGAUGAGAUCCCAUCAGAUUCCCAAAAGGUAACUUCUUCAUCGUCUAGCCUUCCCACACAUCAUAGCAGUGUUCCUUCUCUGAGUACAGAUUCCGUGAGCCCAACAACCAGUUUGAUGUCUUUACGUGAAGAUGCUGAUUCUGAGGAUAUCCACCAAGCAAGUUCUGGGUUGCGCCCAUUAUAUGAGUCACAACAUAGUGGGAAUGGUCCAUUGACGGAAAAGAUUGGUGCUGGUUCGAACAGUUCAUAUCUUAUUCAUCCCUUUUCAGGUGAUUAUGAACAGUCAUCAAUUUCUGGAACGGAUUAUAUCCCUGUUGUUCAUGGGGAUAAAUUUAGAGGAAAUGAUACUGCUUAUAUUGAUGGUCAGAAAACACAUGACGUGGCAACAUGGAGCACUGUCUUGCAAAGCACUGCCAAAUUGCAUAAUGAUCCUUCUCUUGCAUCAUCUCCUUCCAUUCCAUCUAGUUCAAUGGGAGAUGUCCUUGAACAAGAACAUACCAUUUUUAGUGACCUUUUAAUGAGCAAAAGUGGUCUCACUGAGGUAGCAGAGAGCUCUCAGUCUCUCCAAUCAAAUUGGCAGAUUCCUUUUGAAGACAAUUCAGGAGGCAUGCCAAUGUUAACCCAAACCCAGACAUUUGGUCUGCAAUUUAGAUCUGAUUAUGGCACCGGUUUACUAGGGAAUGAAACUCGUAAUGCAUGUUCUGAAAGUGCUGCGAUCCUGUACAGUUUUAAUGGUGAACCAAAAGAGCAGCCUAUGCAGCAAAACUAUCUACAAGAGCUUGAAGAUGGACAAUCUCAACAUGCACUAAAAUCCAAUUCUGCAAAUAAAGUUCCUGAUGAAGAAACUAUCAACUAUGGCUUAACAGUGAAGCGCACAUUAUUGGACAAAGACGAGAGCCUGAAGAAGGUUGAUAGCUUCUCUCGGUGGAUUACUAAGGAACUUGGAGAGGUGGCUGAUUUGAAUAUGCAGUCCUCACCUGGUAUUUCAUGGAGUACAGAUGAAUGCCAGCAUGUGAUAGAUGAUACCUCAUUGAGCCCAUCUCUCUCUCAAGAUCAACUGUUUAGUAUAAAUGAUUUUUCACCUAAAUGGGCUUAUGCUGAGUCCGAAAUUGAGGUGUUGAUUAUUGGAUCAUUUUUGAAGAGUCAACCAGAGGUGACAACCUGCAACUGGUCCUGUAUGUUUGGGGAAGUUGAGAUUCCCGCCAAGGUCUUAGCUGAUGGAAUUUUGUGCUGUCAAGCUCCGCGUCAUAAGGUUGGACGGGUCCCUUUCUAUGUGACAUGUUCCAAUAGGUUAGCUUGUAGUGAAGUGCGGGAAUUCGAUUUCAGAGAGGGCUUUGCCAGAAAUGUAGAUUUUGCAGAUUUUUAUAACAGUUCUGAAAUUCUGCUUCAUUUGCGACUAGAGGAUUUUCUUUCUUUAAAGCCAGUGGACCCUUCAAAUCAUUCUUUUGAGGGUGAUAUGGAGAAAAGAAACUUGAUUUUUCAGCUCAUUUCACUGAGAGAGGUGGAGGAAUAUUCAAUUAAGGAUGAAGUGACUACAGAAUUGGAUAUAUCCCAACACAUGGUGAAGGAGCAUCUGUUUCACAAGCAGUUUAAAGAGAAGCUGUACUCAUGGCUUCUUCACAAAGUAACUGAGAGUGGUAAAGGGCCAAAUGUAUUAGAUGAGGAUGGGCAAGGUGUGCUACAUUUAGCAGCUUUUCUUGGCUAUGAUUGGGCCAUAAAUCCAAUUAUAUCUGCUGGAGUUAAUAUCAACUUCCGAGAUGUGAAUGGAUGGACAGCUCUUCAUUGGGCUGCAUCCUGUGGCAGAGAGCGCACAGUUGCUGUCCUUGUCUCCAUGGGUGCAGAUUGUGGAGCAUUGACAGAUCCAUCUCCCUCAUCUCCAGCAGGUAGAACAGCUGCAGAUCUUGCCUCUAGCUAUGGGCACAAAGGAAUUUCUGGUUUUCUUGCCGAGUCUUCAUUAACUCACCACCUCGAAACCCUCACAAUGGAUGAUCAAAAAGGUGGUCGGCAAGAAAUUUCAGGAAUGAAAGCGGUGCAGACAGUUUCAGAACGAUCUGCAACACCCGUGCACUUUGGUGAUAUGCCAGAUCUCUGCCUCAAGGAUUCGCUUACUGCUGUGCGUAAUGCAACACAAGCUGCUGAUCGUAUACAUCAAGUAUACAGAAUGCAGUCAUUCCAGAGGAAGCAGUUAACUCAGUAUGAAAGUGAUGAGCUUGGAUUGUCAGAUCAGCAAGCACUUUCCCUUCUAGCUUCCAGAGCAUGCAAAUCUGGACAAGGAGAUGGUUUAGCCAAUGCUGCUGCAGUACAGAUACAGAAAAAGUUUCGUGGUUGGAAGAAGAGAAAAGAAUUCUUGAUGAUUCGUCAAAGAGUUGUUAAAAUCCAGGCCCAUGUAAGAGGUCACCAAGUAAGGAAACAGUAUAAACCAAUCAUCUGGUCUGUGGGAAUCCUGGAGAAGAUCAUAUUACGUUGGAGGCGCAAGGGUAGUGGUUUACGUGGAUUUCGACCAAAUGUCAUUAAUGAAGUCCCCGAUCAACAAAAUAAUUCUCUGAAAGAGGAUGAUUAUGAUUAUCUCAAGGAGGGACGGAAACAAAAGGAAGAAAAGAUCCAAAAGGCCCUAUCAAGGGUGAAGUCCAUGGCUCAGUAUCCAGAGGCACGUGCUCAAUACCGGCGUCUGCUAAAUGUUGUUGAGGACUUCCGUCAAACCAAGGCAUCUAACGAGGGUUUGAUCAAUUCUGAAGAGACAGUUGAUGGUAUGGAGGAUUUGAUUGAUAUUGAUAUGCUUUUAGACGAUGAUAAUUUCAUUCCUAUAGCAUUUGAUUGAUCCUGCAAUGGCUACUCUCAUCGUCCCCACUGUAAAUACAUGGCCUGUUUUUGGCUUUAUUUGGUAUUGGGGAGUCCUAACAUCAUCUUGAUGUAGUAUAUAUUUCUAAUCAAAAUUACUUGGAUCCAAGGCUGCAUAUAAAUAGAUUAUGAUAGCUAGAAUGCACUCUGAUUUGACAGUUCAGGCAGACGGUUGGGGGUUAUAACAUAAUGAUGUAACUUGCUAAAGUAUUAAACUGCAAGUUGUACAAAAGUCGACUGUGGCGAGAGAAACUAUAUACUAAGUGCUAAUUAUGAUAUCAAGCUUGUUUUAUCGUUUGCAUUUAAAUUCCUUUUUUUAUCAGUUAGUUCUACUUCUGCAACUUGUCUUUUUAGUUAUAGCAUCCCCAUUUUUCUUAAAAGGAUUUCCACUCUGCAUUGUAGAUGAUAUAGGUGUGGUUUGCUUCUGGUUAUCUUCUUCAUUCUUAUCACUUCAUGGUUUGAAAUGUAUUGAGUUUUUGUUUGUUA